rnacentral:rRNA from 1 species
AAAUGGACUCUCAGCAACGGAUAUCYUUGGCUCUUGCAACGA